UACAGGGGGUGCAAACGUUGCUCGGAAUCAUUGGGCGUAAAGCGCACGUAGGCGGUUCGUUAUGUCGAAUGUGAAAGCCCUUGGCUUAACCGAGGAAGUGCAUCCGAAACUGGCGAGCUAGAGUACUAAAGAGGAUCGCGGAAUUCCCGGUGUAGAGGUGAAAUUCGUAGAUAUCGGGAGGAACACCGGUGGCGAAGGCGGCGAUCUGGGUAGAUACUGACGCUGAGGUGCGAAAGCGUGGGGAGCAAACAGG
rnacentral:rRNA from 1 species